GUAUGGCAAGAAACGAGAGAACUUUGGAAUUCCCCUUGCUAAAGAUGAAAAAGAUCCUACUGAUCUUUACAACACAUAUGAUUAAGACUUUGCCACUAGUAUACCCUGUGGCAUUAAUCAUAAUUGGUU